UCCUUUUUUUUCUAAAGCAGGUCUGUCCUUUUUUCAUGUGUAGUGUCUGGCAACUCUGCCGUAGUCAGCCCGGCGGCCGGCCAGUUGACCGUGAGCCGUGCUUCUCUUGGCAGGACAAGGCGCUGGUCGUGAGGGACAGUGAGUGGUGGAGAUCAAGAUACCGAUAAUAGUGUUAUCUAUAGUAGCGAAGAGAAUAUUUUGUGUGUAGCCUCUCAGUAAUCAGAGGUUAACUAUUUAAACAUGGUUGAAGACACAAAGUGGACAGUGGAGUGUGGGUGCUUGCUAGUGACACGGACAGCCGCCGCGGAGCAAUCUUUGCCUAACGUCACCUCGUGUUAAGGAGUAGCUGGCUGGGGAGUGAUUGUGUUAAGAUAUGGAGAAACAGACCAAAGGAACAGGAGGAGGAGGAGGAGGA